GGUCUGCUGGCCCAAUGGUUAAGGCGCUUGACUACGAAUCAAGAGAUUCCAGGUUCGACUCCUGGGUAGAUCA
rnacentral:tRNA from 1 species